GAUGAACGCUGGCGGCGUGCCUAAUACAUGCAAGUCGAACGAACAGAUAAGGAGCUUGCUCCUUUGUCGAUAGCGGAGGACGGGUGAGUAACACGUGGGUAACCUACUUCUCAUACUGGGAUAACUUCGGGACUCCGGAGCUUAUACCGGAUAACAUUUGGAACCGCAUGGUUCUGGAGUGAAAGAUGGUUUUGCUAUCACUUAUAGAUGGACACGCGCUGUAUUAGCUAGUUGGUAAGGUAACGGCUUACCAAGGCGACGAUACGUAGCCGAUCGGAGAGGGUGGUAGGCGACACGAGAGCGGGGACGCGGACCAGAGGCCUACGAGAGGCAGCAGAAGGGAAUGUGAGGCAAUAGGCGAGAGCCUGACGGAGUAGGGGCGCGUGAGUGAUGAAGGGUCUCGGUGCGUAAAACUCUGUUAUUAGGGAAGAACAAAUGUGUAAGGAACUGAGCACGUCGUGACGGUACCUGAUCAGAAAGCAACGGCUAACUACGUG
rnacentral:rRNA from 1 species